rnacentral:rRNA from 1 species
CUACGGGAUGCACCAGUGGGGAAUAUUGCACAAUGGGCGCAAGCCUGAUGCAGCCAUGCCGCGUGUAUGAGGAAGGCCUUCGGGUUGUAAAGUACUUUCAGCGGGGAGGAAGGGAGUAAAGUUAAUACCUUUGCUCAUUGACGUUACCCGCAGAAGAAGCACCGGCUAACUCCGUGCCAGCAGCCGCGGUAAUACGGAGGGUGCAAGCGUUAAUCGGAAUUACUGGGCGUAAAGCGCACGCAGGCGGUUUGUUAAGUCAGAUGUGAAAUCCCCGGGCUCAACCUGGGAACUGCAUCUGAUACUGGCAAGCUAGAGUAUCGUAGAGGGGGGUAGAAUUCCAGGUGUAGCGGUGAAAUGCGUAGAGAUCUGGAGGAAUACCGGUGGCGAAGGCGGCCCCCUGGACGAAGACUGACGCUCAGGUGCGAAAGCGUGGGGAGCAAACAGGAUUAGAUACCCGCGUAGUC